rnacentral:lncRNA from 1 species
AAAAAUAGGUACGCGACGCGUACAUGUAUCUGCGAAAAAACUUGAUUCACAUGUUGUAUUUUCUUGAAAGGAACUGAAUAAUGAAGACAACAUGGGACAAUUGAAAUAUUUCAUCACUUAUUAUAAUAUAAUAGCAAAUAAGAUUUUAAAGUCAAACAUAAUAUACAUCUAACAGGGCUGUACACAGUGCGGAGGGCAGCAGAGUCAACCCCACCCCCACCGAGAAAAUUUAACUAAUUUUAUAAUGCGAUUAUGAUUGUAACAGAUAAUUAUGCUGUUAGUGUCUAUACAGCCGGCAGCGAGCUAUUUAGUAAACUGUCACUUGUCAAUCCAUACUCAUAGAGUUUUCAAAACUUUAUUGUAAUCAUAUGACGCAAAAGUUCUGUCUCUUGUUGUUUACACUUGGCAAUGUUAACUAUUGAGUAGCAUACACAAACUAUUCGAGGAACAUGAAUUACUGUAACAAUGAGUGAAUCAUAUAUCGAAGAUCACUGAAUAGUAGAGAAUGUUUUGAAGGUCAUGAGUGAAGUAUAUAAUUCAAUUCCAAUUCUG